rnacentral:rRNA from 1 species
GACGAACGCUGGCGGCGUGCUUAACACAUGCAAGUCGAACGCUGAAGCUCAGCUUUUGUUGGGUGGAUGAGUGGCGAACGGGUGAGUAACACGUGAGUAACCUGCCUCCUUCUUUGGGAUAACGCCCGGAAACGGGUGCUAAUACUGGAUAUUCACUGGUCUUCGCAUGGGGGUUGGUGGAAAGGGUUUUUCUGGUGGGGGAUGGGCUCGCGGCCUAUCAGCUUGUUGGUGGGGUGAUGGCCUACCAAGGCUUUGACGGGUAGCCGGCCUGAGAGGGUGACCGGUCACAUUGGGACUGAGAUUCGGCCCAGACUCCGACGGGAGGCAGCAGUGGGGAAUAUUGCACAAUGGGCGCAAGCCUGAUGCAGCGACGCCGCGUGAGGGAUGGAGGCCUUCGGGUUGUGAACCUCUUUCGCUCAUGGUCAAGCCGCAACAAUGGUUGUGGUGAGGGUAGUGGGUAAAGAAGCGCCGGCUAACUACGUG